AGCUAAUAGAUACCCUGGUAGUCCACGCCCUAAACGAUGUCUACUAGUUGUUGGUGGAGUAAAAUCCAUGAGUAAACGCAGCUAACGCGUGAAGUAGACCGCCUGGGGAGUACGGUCGCAAGAUUAAAACUCAAAGGAAUUGUCGGGGGCCCGCACAAGCGGUGGAUUAUGUGGAUUAAUUCGAUGCAACGCGAAAACCUUACCUGGCCUUGACAUGCCACUAACGAAGCAGAGAUGCAUUAGGUGCCCGUAAGGGAAAGUGGACACAGGUGCUGCGUGGCUGUCGUCAGCUCGUGUCGUGAGAUGUUGGGUUAAGUCCCGCAACGAGCGCAACCCUUGCCAUUAAUUGCCAUCAUUUAGUUGGGCACUUUAAUGGGACUGCCGGUGACAACCGGAGGAAGGUGAGGAUGACGUCAAGUCCUCAUGGCCCUUAUGGCCA
rnacentral:rRNA from 1 species